AAAAAGACAAACACUGAGUUUUCGUCUUCAAUAUUUGACCGUCCGUCUUAUAUAGAAUUUUUUAUAAUUAGUAUUUUCAUUAUUGUUAGAUGAUAAAAUAUGAUUAAUAUUUUAUACAUAACUUAUCUUUUUAAUUUAUUUUAUAUAAGAUAGACGGUCAAACAUUAGACACGAAAAUCUAGAGUUUGUCUUUUU
rfam:Oryza nivara chromosome 12, whole genome shotgun sequence.